GCGAGAGAAUCCAAGACCUGCAAUACGACAUCCUGGACCUGAAGAUCUACGUCAGCCCUGAUUACGUCACGAUCAUCCCCUGGACCUGACCCGUGGCAGAGGACGAGGAGGAAAACCAACUCGCCCGCCAUGGCUUGCUCUGAGGACGAACCUUCGACGUUCCUGGUGUUCUAAGUGUCUUUGAAAAAAAAUGUGUUUUUCGGUUUGUUCAGACGAAAAGAUGAGAUGCGUUUGGAUUUUCUGAAGAAAAAAAUAAAAAUAAAGGGAGUAUGAGAAGAGAGAAAAAACUAAAACACAUGAAGAGAAACUUCAGUGAAUCAAAGACCAGCUCUGAAAGGCUAACAGAUGCACGUUUCCCCUUCCCUUUUCACAGGUAAAGGCGACAGCUUUUCAUCUGCCUUUCGAUAGCUGUAUAAAAUAUACUUUUCUGACCAAAGCCACAGAACUAAAAAGGACAGUUAACCUGUUUCUCACGAACGCUUAAGAAAACCGAGGAAACGCGAAUGACACUCGCCUUUGUGUCAACGGUCAUGAUGCGGCUUUUCCUCAGCGAGUGCGACUGACGUUGAAAGGUCGUUUACCUUGCGGACGAGAUCCUAACGACAUCUGGCAACUCAUUAUCGACAGUGUGUCCUGUCUUAAUCAUUUUCAAAAUUUUCUUUGAUAUUUUUAUAAUAUAAAGAAAAUGGGAUCGGAAACAACUUAGCAUUUUCUAUGAAAGGAAAGGAAACAAAAGAAAAUAAAGGAAAUAUAAAGCAAUUAAAAUAUAUAGAUAAAAGGAAGGAGACUACGAAUAAAGGAAAGAAAAAUGCCUACAUGAAAAUGAAGAAAAAUCAGACAGGUUUUAAAAUUAAGGGCGCGGCCAAAUGUCAGAAACACUUUGGCAUUUCGAAGUGAUAUGAUUUCUUGCAGUCCCUAAUGCUCUGUUGUUGGGACAUUUUCAAGAGCAGAUUACAAAAGGGGGAAACCAAAUAUUGAUAAGAAUGUCAAAAUAAGAUUUUAUAUUAUCACGAGAAACAUUUUUUCUCGCCGUUGUACGUUAUCGUGUUAUGGUUUUCAAAGGGACUUAAAUAAUUACUUAACAUAUUAAAAUUAAAUGUAUUUAUUUAUUUAUUUGUCCAUUGAGCUGGUGAACAGAUAUCAGAGACAUAGUGAACCACAGUAGUUAUGUAAUCAGAAUCAUACUGUAAAUCUCGAAAAAAAACACGUAUUUUGAAUUACUCUCAAUGUAACUCCCUUAAAGAAAUGGCAUAACUAUCAUGUUGUAAUCUAUCUGUAUUAUAUAAUGUAAUAGACUAAAGAGUUCCAGAUAUUUUCGUAUGUGCUACAAUAAUGUUGAUAUGGAGCGUCGUGCAUGUUGUAGAUAUAAUGAUAUUUAAGAGAUAUACUGUAUUCGUUGUUUACUCGUUUGUUUGCGUGAGAUGAUCGUGUACUGGUUCUUACUUAUUUGUUCAUGAAUAGCGUUUGUCUCUUUGUGAUAUUCUUGUGACGUUUUCUGUUACCUAAUUGUGUUUAGGAGAGGAGGAAUUGUAAAGCGUGACGUUGAACAGUAGAUCUUCAUAAUUGUACUACAGACUGAAGGAUUAUAAAAAAAAAGGGAAUUAUGACUAAAGUAGAAAAUAAUCCAGGAAGAUUAAUGAAGAAAAAAUAGAGUUUGUGUUUUUCAUCCUUAAAUUAUUAAUUACUUCGUUUGAGAGAAAAUAGAAUUUUGUUUAUAUUUAUGCCUACUUGUCAAAGGUCCAAAAUGUGCUUCUAAAACAAAGAAACUCAGGAUAGAGCUGGCAAAAAAAACAUUGGAAUUCAGAAUAUAGUAUAUUGUUGACAUAAAGAUUACUGUUAUUCUUUUUAACUAUUGUUUUUAUAUGAUAUCACACAGACACACACACCUAAUACGCAAAUAUCACCAUUUUGAAAGCCCAGAGUUAACAAUGCAGCUUAUUUAAAAAAAAAAAAAAAAAAAAAAAAAAUAACAGAAAAAUGAACAAGAGAAAUAUGAAAAGAAAAUGUGAAUUACAUAUAAUCCCACCUGUGGAAGAUUAUACAGGAUAGGUCAGUGUCACACCUUAAUAUAUUAAAACGAUUUUUAUAUACAUUAUACUGACUAUCACAAACCAAUUUUAUCAUUUUAGGCCUCAAUUUUACACCAUAUAAAAUACAUCCUGUUAUCUCUCCUGCUAAUCAUGAAAUACAGAUUUAAGCUGGAUCAGUAUAAUCUGAGGAAAUAUUUAAAUCAUUUAUCCUUUACAUGAUUAUCUUUAUAUAAAUAAAAUGAGGCUUCAUUGUGUAAAUAUAGACAGAGGAUUAUCAUAAAGAUACUUUUGAUAUAUGUCCGAGUGAAGAGUGAUAUGAAAGUGACUAAUUAUCAAUUUUCUUUGUGUAUUUAUCAUAUUUAAAUUAUUUUGUGAUCUUGAUUUAAGCAUUAUAGUAAUAAGUAAUCUUAAGAUAUGUGCAACAUAGUUCGUCUUAUCUCUUUAUUUGCAUAUUAUUUCCCCUUCAUUUUAGACAUAUCAGUAACAGAUAUAUAUAUAUAUAUAAAAUGUCACACAUGUACCUAGAAUGGAUAGAUUAGAAAUUCGUAUAAGACUGAUUAUAUAUAACAAAAAGUUGAAUUACUGAAAAAGAAGAGUUUUCUUACUGUAGUUACAUCUAGUGUUUGUGAUGUGUCACACGGUAUCUCUGAAGAAAUAAAUAUAUAUAUGAGUAACUUUA